UGACUUUCGAUUUUGGCAGGCUGCAUUAACGUCAAGUGCGCCAAGGAGAUAUACAAAUGUACAAAUGAUCAUGGGACAGAUUUAACAGUCAAACUCAAAGGUUGCAUUGCAAGUAGCUGUAAAGAGGCUAUGAGCUCAUGCAUGGAAUGGAUUUUUCAAGCUGUUUCGAGUGUACAAGCAACUUUAG